UACGGAGGGUGCAAGCGUUGUCCGGAUUUAUUAGGUUUAAAGGGUGCGUAGGUGGCCCGUUAAGUCCGGGGUGAAAGCCCACUGCUCAACAGUGGAACUGCCCUGGAUACUGACGGGCUUGAGUCCAGACGAGGUUGGCGGAAUGGAUGGUGUAGCGGUGAAAUGCAUAGAUACCAUCCAGAACCCCGAUUGCGUAGGCAGCUGACUAGGCUGGUACUGACACUGAGGCACGAAAGCGUGGGGAGCGAACAGG
rnacentral:rRNA from 1 species